GACAGAGGGUGCAAACGUUGUUCGGAAUUACUGGGCAUAAAGAGCACGUAGGUGGUUCGUUAAGUCACGUGUGAAAUCCCCCGGCUCAACCGGGGAAUUGCGCGUGAUACUGGCGAACUCGAGGCGGGUAGGGGUGAGCGGAACUCCAGGUGGAGCGGUGAAAUGCGUAGAUAUCUGGAGGAACGCCGGUGGCGAAAGCGGCUCACUGGACCCGAUCUGACACUGAGGUGCGAAAGCUAGGGUAGCAAACGGG
rnacentral:rRNA from 1 species